rnacentral:misc_RNA from 1 species
CAUUCUCUCUCUCCGGUGACUCUGACCCAGGUAACCCGAGUCUUAACUCGGUGGCUUUCAAGUGAAGGCCACCAGCAGAGAACUUCUUAUCAGAGCUUUCCAUUGGAGGAACCUCUGAUGAUAAGCCUAUGUAGUCAUGCUCUAAGGGCAUAGACAUGAAAAAUAAAAAACCAUGAAAGUAUUAUCAAGAACCAAUUAGAAGUAGA